GGGCGAUUAGCUCAGUUGGCUAGAGCAUCUCAUUGACGUUGAGAAGGCCACAGGUUCAAGUCCUGUAUCGCCCACUA
rnacentral:tRNA from 1 species